rnacentral:rRNA from 1 species
AAUAUGAAGGCGGGCUGGAACCUCUUGGGGUUACAGCCUUGCUGAAUUAUUCACCCUUGUCUUUUGCGUACUUCUUGUUUCCUUGGUGGGUUCGCCCACCACUAGGACAAACAUAAACCUUUUGUAAUUGCAAUCAGCGUCAGUAACAAAUUAAUAAUUACAACUUUCAACAACGGAUCUCUUGGUUCUGGCAUCGAUGAAGAACGCAGCGAAAUGCGAUAAGUAGUGUGAAUUGCAGAAUUCAGUGAAUCAUCGAAUCUUUGAACGCACAUUGCGCCCUUUGGUAUUCCAAAGGGCAUGCCUGUUCGAGCGUCAUUUGUACCCUCAAGCUUUGCUUGGUGUUGGGCGUCUUGUCUCUAGCUUUGCUGGAGACUCGCCUUAAAGUAAUUGGCAGCCGGCCUACUGGUUUCGGGGCGCAGCACAAGUCGCACUCUCUAUCAGCAAAGGUCUAGCAUCCAUUAAGCCUUUUUUUCAACUUUUGACCUCGGAUCAGGUAGGGAUACCCGCUGAACUUAAGCAUAUCAA